AUCCAGACUCCUACGGGAGGCAGCAGUGAGGAAUAUUGGUCAAUGGGCGCGAGCCUGAACCAGCCAAGUCGCGUGAGGGAAGACGGCCCUACGGGUUGUAAACCUCUUUUGCCGGGGAGCAACGGGCGCCACGUGUGGCGCCACUGAGAGUACCCGGAGAAAAAGCAUCGGCUAACUCCGUGCCAGCAGCCGCGGUAAUACGGAGGAUGCGAGCGUUAUCCGGAUUUAUUGGGUUUAAAGGGUGCGUAGGGGGGGGCUUUAAGUAGGGGGGAAAAGUGGGGGCCCAAACCCCUUCCCGCCAUUGAAACUGGCGCUCUUGAGUGGAAGAGAAGUAUGCGGAAUGCGUGGUGUAGCGGUGAAAUGCAUAGAUAUCACGCAGAACCCCGAUUGCGAAGGCAGCAUGCCGGCUUCCUACUGACGCUGAAGCACGAAAGCGUGGGGAUCGAACAGGAUUAGAUACCCGAGUA
rnacentral:rRNA from 1 species